rnacentral:rRNA from 1 species
UACGAAGGGGGCUAGCGUUGCUCGGAAUCACUGGGCGUAAAGGGUGCGUAGGCGGGUCUUUAAGUCAGGGGUGAAAUCCUGGAGCUCAACUCCAGAACUGCCUUUUGAUACUGAGGAUCUUGAGUUCGGGAGAGGUGAGUGGAAACUGCGAGUGUAGAGGUGAAAAUUCGUAGAUAUUCGCAAGAACACCAGUGGCGAAGGCGGCUCACUGGCCCGAUACUGACGCUGAGGCGCG